rnacentral:rRNA from 1 species
CCGCCCGUCACGUCAUGAAAUGGGCAACACCUGAAGCCGGUGGCUUAACCUCUUCUUCGGAAGAGGAGAGAACUGUCGAGGGUGGGUUCAUGAUUGGGGCG